rnacentral:rRNA from 1 species
GUGGGGUAAUUUUCCGCAAUGGGCGAAAGCCUGACGGAGCAAUGCCGCGUGGAGGUGGAAGGCCUACGGGUCGUCAACUUCUUUUCUCGGAGAAGAAACAAUGACGGUAUCUGAGGAAUAAGCAUCGGCUAACUCUGUUCCAG